GGUUAAGCGACUAAGCGUACACGGUGGAUGCCCUGGCAGUCAGAGGCGAUGAAGGACGUGCUAAUCUGCGAUAAGCGUCGGUAAGGUGAUAUGAACCGUUAUAACCGGCGAUUUCCGAAUGGGGAAACCCAGUGUGAUUCGUCACACUAUCAUUAACUGAAUCCAUAGGUUAAUGAGGCGAACCGGGGGAACUGAAACAUCUAAGUACCCCGAGGAAAAGAAAUCAACCGAGAUUCCCCCAGUAGCGGCGAGCGAACGGGGAGCAGCCCAGAGCCUGAAUCAGUGUGUGUGUUAGUGGAAGCGUCUGGAAAGGCGCGCGAUACAGGGUGACAGCCCCGUACACAAAAAUGCACAUGCUGUGAGCUCGAUGAGUAGGGCGGGACACGUGGUAUCCUGUCUGAAUAUGGGGGGACCAUCCUCCAAGGCUAAAUACUCCUGACUGACCGAUAGUGAACCAGUACCGUGAGGGAAAGGCGAAAAGAACCCCGGCGAGGGGAGUGAAAAAGAACCUGAAACCGUGUACGUACAAGCAGUGGGAGCACAGAGCAAUCUGUGUGACUGCGUACCUUUUGUAUAAUGGGUCAGCGACUUAUAUUCUGUAGCAAGGUUAACCGAAUAGGGGAGCCGAAGGGAAACCGAGUCUUAACUGGGCGUUAAGUUGCAGGGUAUAGACCCGAAACCCGGUGAUCUAGCCAUGGGCAGGUUGAAGGUUGGGUAACACUAACUGGAGGACCGAACCGACUAAUGUUGAAAAAUUAGCGGAUGACUUGUGGCUGGGGGUGAAAGGCCAAUCAAACCGGGAGAUAGCUGGUUCUCCCCGAAAGCUAUUUAGGUAGCGCCUCGUGAAUUCAUCUCCGGGGGUAGAGCACUGUUUCGGCAAGGGGGUCAUCCCGACUUACCAACCCGAUGCAAACUGCGAAUACCGGAGAAUGUUAUCACGGGAGACACACGGCGGGUGCUAACGUCCGUCGUGAAGAGGGAAACAACCCAGACCGCCAGCUAAGGUCCCAAAGUCAUGGUUAAGUGGGAAACGAUGUGGGAAGGCCCAGACAGCCAGGAUGUUGGCUUAGAAGCAGCCAUCAUUUAAAGAAAGCGUAAUAGCUCACUGGUCGAGUCGGCCUGCGCGGAAGAUGUAACGGGGCUAAACCAUGCACCGAAGCUGCGGCAGCGACGCUUAUGCGUUGUUGGGUAGGGGAGCGUUCUGUAAGCCUGCGAAGGUGUGCUGUGAGGCAUGCUGGAGGUAUCAGAAGUGCGAAUGCUGACAUAAGUAACGAUAAAGCGGGUGAAAAGCCCGCUCGCCGGAAGACCAAGGGUUCCUGUCCAACGUUAAUCGGGGCAGGGUGAGUCGACCCCUAAGGCGAGGCCGAAAGGCGUAGUCGAUGGGAAACAGGUUAAUAUUCCUGUACUUGGUGUUACUGCGAAGGGGGGACGGAGAAGGCUAUGUUGGCCGGGCGACGGUUGUCCCGGUUUAAGCGUGUAGGCUGGUUUUCCAGGCAAAUCCGGAAAAUCAAGGCUGAGGCGUGAUGACGAGGCACUACGGUGCUGAAGCAACAAAUGCCCUGCUUCCAGGAAAAGCCUCUAAGCAUCAGGUAACAUCAAAUCGUACCCCAAACCGACACAGGUGGUCAGGUAGAGAAUACCAAGGCGCUUGAGAGAACUCGGGUGAAGGAACUAGGCAAAAUGGUGCCGUAACUUCGGGAGAAGGCACGCUGAUAUGUAGGUGAAG
rnacentral:rRNA from 1 species